AGAGUUUGAUCCUGGCUCAGAACGAACGCUGGCGGCGUGGAUAAGACAUGCAAGUCGAACGGGGUUUAGUUUGUAGCAAUACACGCUAAAUCCAGUGGCGAACGGGUGCGUAACACGUGAGUAAUCUGCCGGGAAGUGGGGGAUAGCUCGCCGAAAGGAAUUAAUACCGCAUAUGACAAGGGAAGACAUCUUUCCGAAGUCAAAGUCGCAAGACGCUUCCUGAUGAGCUCGCGGCCUAUCAGCUAGUUGGUGAGGUAACGGCUCACCAAGGCUAUGACGGGUAGCUGGUCUGAGAGGACGACCAGCCACACUGGAACUGAGACACGGUCCAGACACCUACGGGUGGCAGCAGUCGAGAAUUUUUCACAAUGGGGGAAACCCUGAUGGAGCGACGCCGCGUGGAGGAUGAAGGUCUUCGGAUUGUAAACUCCUGUCAUGCGAGAACAAGAAAGUGAUAGUAUCGCAAGAGGAAGAGACGGCUAACUCUGUGCCAGCAGCCGCGGUAAUACAGAGGUCUCAAGCGUUGUUCGG
rnacentral:rRNA from 1 species